rnacentral:rRNA from 1 species
AUUGAACGCUGGCGGCAGGCCUAACACAUGCAAGUCGAACGAGUGGCGGACGGGUGAGUAAUGUCUGGGAAACUGCCUGAUGGAGGGGGAUAACUACUGGAAACGGUAGCUAAUACCGCAUACCAUCGGAUGUGCCCAGAUGGGCUUAGCUAGUAGGUGGGGUAAAGGCUCACCUAGGCGACGAUCCCUAGCUGGUCUGAGAGGAUGACCAGGCACUCUGGAACUGAGGCACGGUGCAGACUCGUACGGGAGGCAGCUGUGGGGAAUAUUGCACAUUGCGCGCAAGCCUCAUGCAGCCAGGCCGGUUGUAUGAAGAAGGUCUUCGGGUUGUGUAGUACUUUCAGCGGGGAGGCGUUACCCGCAGAAGAAGCACCAGAUAACUCCGUGCGAGCCGCCGCGGUAAUAC